AAGACAAUAGGGUGCCAUUUGGGAAGCAGAGAUGAUAUAGCUGUGUAAUAUCACAGAAGUUGGACUCUCGUGUUGACGACUGUAGGUAAAUAUUCUCUAUAUAGUGCACUAAGAAGACAAUAGGGUGCCAUUUGGGAAGCAGAGAUGAUAUAGCUGUGUAAUAUCACAGAAGUUGGACUCUCGUGUUGACGACUGUAGGUAAAUAUUCUCUAUAUAGUGCACUAAGAAGACAAUAGGGUGCCAUUUGGGAAGCAGAGAUGAUAUAGCUGUGUAAUAUCACAGAAGUUGGACUCUCGUGUUGACGACUGUAGGGGAAGGCUGUUAUUCUCUGCUCCAACUCUUCAUCAUCAGUUGGUUCAUAUUUGUAAGUGUUCGCCAUUUUUGGUUUGUUUUUAUGACUUGAACAAAGAGAGGAAUGUGAACAGAGGCCAUAUGUAUCAAACAUCUGAGUAGGAGUGCUGAUCUAGGAUCAGCCCCCCUUCCCAGGUCCCAAUGUAAUCGUACUCGUUAUGCUCUAAAAUACUCAAACUGAUCCUAGAUCAGCACUCAGAGAUGUUUGGUACAUAUGGCACCAGGAUUUGAAUGCAAAGCUGCUUUGGCAUCAUGGAAGGACGGAUGUUUGUGAUGGUUGUGUUUGACCUCCUGGGUCAGAGAAUUGUCUUUACGCUCCACCAGCUCCAUAUAAACCGUGGACUUCCUCUGUUUUGGAGAUGCUGUACAUUUACUGUAAUGUUUUGUGAAAUCAUCGUCAUGGCCUUUUGUGUGAUUUAUUAUUUGAUGUCCCAAAUGGCACCCUAUUCCCUCUAUAGUGCACUACAUUUUGACCAGAGUCCUAUGGGCCCUGGUUCAAAAGUAGUGCACUAUAAAGGGAUUUUGAUGCCAUUUGGGAUGCAGCCUUUCUCUCCCUUCACAUCUGGGCUGCUGUGUUUUUCCAGUAAAUGACGAGGCCAGUCGUUGGUAGUUGGAGCUCGGUCUGUCUGUGCAGGCAGGUAGCUUUGUUUUCCUACCAUGUGGAUGUUCUCUCCUUCAUGGCAUUUUGCAUGGCUAAGUGUGUAAAUGGAGUGUCUCGGGAGGGCCUGGGGGAGGCUACAGAUUUACUACAGUAGUAGUGACAACAUGGUCUUUGUGUCAGUGUCGCACCACAUCAGUAAGCCAGGAUUCACACCAUGUCUGUUUUCAGUGUUGCUGUGAACAUUUUUAAUUCAAUGCCCUUGUGCCUGUAUGUAUGUAUGUAUGUAUGUUCUUUUUAACACUUUUGCAGUUUGUAUUCAGCCUUCUACAUUUCUCCUUGAGUCUUUAUUCCAAUGUUCUAUUGAUGAUUAUAAACUGGGUGGUUUGAGCUCUGAAUGCUGAUUGGCUGACAGCUGUGGUAUAUCAUAUACCAUGGGUAUGACAAAACAUUUUUACUGCUCUAAUUAUGUUGGUAACCAGUUUAUAAUAGCAAUAAGGCACCUCGGGGUUUGUGGUAUAUGGCCAAUAUACCACUGCUAAGGGCUGUAUCCAGGCACGUUGUGUCAUGCAUAAGAACAGCCCAUAGCCGUGGUAUAUUGGCCUUAUACCACACCCCCUCCUGCCUUAUUGGUCAAGUAAAGGUUUGUCAGUCACUGGGCCUGGGUAAUACUCUGAGAAUGCAUCCAUCCUUCCUCCCCCUCGGGCCUUAUUGGUCAAGUAAAGGUUUGUCAGUCACUGGGCCUGGGUAAUACUCUGAGAAUGCAUCCUUCCUCCCCCUCGGGCCUUAUUGGUCAAGUAAAGGUUUGUCAGUCACUGGGCCUGGGUAAUACUCUGAGAAUGCAUCCAUCCUUCCUCCCCCUCGGGCCUUAUUGGUCAAGUAAAGGUUUGUCAGUCACUGGGCCUGGGUAAUACUCUGAGAAUGCAUCCUUCCUCCCCCUCGGGCCUUAUUGGUCAAGUAAAGGUUUGUCAGUCACUGGGCCUGGGUAAUACUCUGAGAAUGCAUCCUUCCUUCCUCCCCCUUGGAGUAAACGCUGUUCUGACAUAACUGUGUCUUUCUAAGAUACAUUUUUUUGUAUACAAAAUUGUGUAUAAUUCCUGAGAAAUGUGGUUUGACGAAUGGAGUUUAGCGAUGGCACUCUGAGCUAUUAUCACCCAGUUGUCAGAUAAGUGAAUAUUUCAAGGGAGAGUAGAAGGGUGCAUUUUAUUAGUAUUCAACCAUAGCCAUCAUCUCAACACAAAUAUUUCUCUCAUGUCAAAAUCAGACACUGACACUCAUCCCCAGGUAGCAUGGACCAGACUCCUGGCUGUAUAGAAUAUGGUGUAUUGUUUCUGGAAUGAAGAUGCCAUUUUGCCAAAACAAUCCCUCUCGAAAAGGAGACUUGUGUUUUGUUUGUUUUUUCACUCUGAAUUAAUAAAACUUUAUUAAAAAUG